UAGUCCACGCCGUAAACGAUGUCUAUUAGCCGUUGGGGUCCUUGAGACUUUAGUGGCGCAGCUAACGCGAUAAAUAGACCGCCUGGGGAGUACGGCCGCAAGGUUAAAACUCAAAUGAAUUGACGGGGGCCCGCACAAGCGGUGGAGCAUGUGGUUUAAUUCGAAGCAACGCGAAGAACCUUACCUACUCUUGACAUCCAGAGAACUUAGCAGAGAUGCUUUGGUGCCUUCGGGAACUCUGAGACAGGUGCUGCAUGGCUGUCGUCAGCUCGUGUUGUGAAAUGUUGGGUUAAGUCCCGUAACGAGCGCAACCCUUGUCCUUAUUUGCCAGCAUUUAGUUGGGUACUCUAAGGAGACUGCCGGUGACAAACCGGAGGAAGGCGGGGACGACGUCAAGUCAUCAUGGCCCUUACGAGUAGGGCUACACACGUGCUACAAUGGCCGGUACAGAGGGUCGCGAAGCCGCGAGGUGGAGCUAAUCUCACAAAGCCGGUCGUAGUCCGGAUUGGAGUCUGCAAC
rnacentral:rRNA from 1 species